CCAAUAGCGUAUAUUAAAGUUGUUGCAGUUAAAAAGCUCGUAGUUGAAUUUCGGGAUUGACGUGACGGUCAUGCCUUAAGGGGUAUGAACUGUUGCUGUUAAUUUCUCACCUUCUGGAGAAACUUGAUGUCCUUUAUUGGGUGUCUUGCGGAUCCAGGACCUUUACCUUGAAAAAAUUAGAGUGUUUAAAGCAGGCAUUUUUGCUCGAAUACAUUAGCAUGGAAUAAUAGAAUAGGACGGCAUGGUUCUAUUUUGUUGGUUUCUAGGAUCACCGUAAUGAUUAAUAGGGAUAGUUGGGGGCAUUAGUAUUCAAUUGUCAGAGGUGAAAUUCUUGGAUUUAUUGAAGACUAACUACUGCGAAAGCAUUUGCCAAGGAUGUUUUCAUUAAUCAAGAACGAAAGUUAGGGGAUCGAAGACGAUCAGAUACCGUCGUAGUCUUAACCAUAAACUAUGCCGACUAGGAAUCAGACGAUGUUAAUUUUUUAAUGACUCGUUUGGCACCUUACG
rnacentral:misc_RNA from 1 species